UACAGAGGGGGCAAGCGUUGUUCGGAAUUACUGGGUGUAAAGGGCGCGUAGGCGGCCUUCUAAGUCAUGCGUGAAAUCCCUGGGCUCAACCCAGGAACUGCGUCUGAUACUGGAAGGCUUGAAUCCGGGAGAGGGAUGUGGAAUUCCAGGUGUAGCGGUGAAAUGCGUAGAUAUCUGGAGGAACACCGGUGGCGAAGGCGGCAUCCUGGACCGGUAUUGACGCUGAGGCGCGAAAGCCAGGGGAGCAAACGGG
rnacentral:rRNA from 1 species